rnacentral:other from 1 species
UCGGGUAGUGAAGGCGAUGUCAGGAUGAUGUCACUUCAUGAAGGAGUGGAACACACCGGGAUGGUGUUACAAGGAAGGCUUCGGGAAGAAGCAAGGAAGACUCUGGAUGAGUGAUGGACACCUCCAGGAUGGAGAAUGAGAGCCGAAUCAGGAUGAUCGGUGGGUCUGGAAGGCCAAGGGAUUUCGCGUCAGGAUGAUGCAGGACACCAGCAGGAUGUUGGUUGCAGGAUGCGUGUACGAGGGAUUGUAGGUCAGGAGACCGUAGGACAAAGUUGUCAAGGAUGAGCAGGGAGCACUAAAAGUAGCAGGAUUAGCUGCGAAACGAACCGGGAGCACUGUGUAUACAGUGCUCCCUUUUUUUA